AAGCUACCCAGGUGCCCCAGGUGAAACUUUUAAAAAGGACCACGCGGUCACGACAAGCAAAACAGAACUCAAGCGAUAGCAAGACACAGGGCAAGGGCGGCGGAUUCCAAGACUAGAGAGGAUGGGAGCAAAUUAGUGAAGAAAGGAAACGGGAAGGAAAAAGGGGCGUUUCAGACGCCCUGGGAGCCCGUCCUAUUCCCAGCUGAGACUAAGGAACCGGAGCAGAACACUCGAACCUGUGGCCACUUUCCAUCAAAUAACUUAGAGAUCAAAAAAAUAAAUAAAUAAAAUAAAAUAAAUAAAUAACUUA